rnacentral:lncRNA from 1 species
ACCUCGGCCUAGCAACAGCUGUCAAGAACAUAACCUUUCCAAUACAACUGCCAUUUUGCAGAGUUCUCGUAGGCUCUUCCUCCCCAUACAAUAGAUAAUAGUUCCUUUUUUUCUUGGUCAUAUAGAACCAUUUCUUGUCAAUAUGAAUAAUGUUGUGCAUGGUCUUGAAUUUUGGCCUUUCAGUUUGUGUUGUUGUCUCAUGGAGCAUUGACAAGCAAUAUUUCAUUCUAUCCUUCUUGUUCUUUUCUUCCAGAACUGGCUUCAAACUAUUUGUAUGCCUCUUUAUCAACUUCAGCAUGAACUUCCGGUGGAGUGUCGUAGGGCUGCACUGGAGUUGCCAAGCAAGUGACCUGAUAGUAGACCUCCUGUUCGGUGGGAUGGUAGGGAUUUGCUCUAGAUUGAUGUCUUUCGGCUUUCUUCCACAAUUUCCUUUCCUCUAACUUGAAACAUCUACCUCUAGACCUUUAGCAAUUUGCUCCAUCGCUUUCUUCCAAAUUCUUUGUAUAUUCCAGACACCCACUCCAAAGAAACUUUCCCCCUCUACUCAUGCACAAUGUAUGCAUUGCAACAUAGGCAGCAUAUUUUUGUUUGCCAUCUAGGCUAUCCCUUUUCUGAACUGCUUGCUCAACACCUGCACAAAGAAAAAUAUGAUCAAAUGGAGUACAACAAUGCAUUUAUACAAGUCAUUUGAGUCGUUUACUAUCUAUUCAUGAUCAUUUGAGUCAUUUACCUGCAUGUUGAACAAUUUCAUCUCCUAGAUCUUCAUCCAUUUCAUCUCUUACAUCUUCAUCCAUUUCAUCUCCAUCUUCUGAAGGUGGGGUGUAGUUGAGGUCUGGGAGAUCCAUGUUUUCCAGGCAACUGAAAAGAACUUUCAAGGUAAGAGGUUGAACUUUCAAGAUGCACAACAGUACAUUUCGGAAAAGAAAAUGACCAAAUGGAGUAGUACCACAUUCUUGCAUACUUUGUUUGCACUAUUCUCUCGCUUGCACUGCUUGUUUAACAUUAAAUGAUCAAAUGGAAAUGAAAAUGAUCUUGGAGUAGUUUAGUGUAGGACUUGGAGUAGUACAUGAAACUUUUCCUUCAACUGAAAUUAACUAAAACUUUAACUGUCAAAAUAUCCAGAAGGUUCUAGUUGAGGUUCAUCAGUAGCAAGUGUAACUACUGUAGUAGCAAGUGUAGCAAGUGGAGUAUUGAUCCUUUCCAAAUUAACACUCCAAUUUGAGUAUCAUUAAAGUAAUGUUGUUAAAGUAAUGUAGGAGUAUCAUUUAUUGUUUGUUUCCAAAUUAAUACUCCUAAAUUAAAGUAAUGUUGUUAAAGUAAUGUAGGAGUAUCACUUCCUAGCCCUUCUUUCUACUUUUUCGAGUAGAAUUUUUCAGUUAAAAAUUUCAGAAUUUUUGCCUGAAAUGCUACCGCAAGGAAUAUUUGAAGACAUACUCCAUUAAGUUAGGAGUAUGUAGCAGUACUUAUUUUGAGUAGCUAGGAAUGAAGCUUCCUAGCAAUUUGACCAAAUUCUGUCAUUUACUCCAUUUCAAUGAAGUUUUUGUCAUUUAUUCUGUCAAUGGUAUUCACUGCAAUAAUUUGAAAGUACUGAUGCAUUCAAUUUCCAUUUGACUUAUGCAAACUGAAUUUACUCAAAUCUCUCUCAGCCAAUAAUAAAAUCUCUUAGCAAUGAUGUAAAAAUAAUCAAAUCUCUCCAUUUGACUUAUGCAGGCCUUAUACAAUGAUGUAAAAAUACUCAAAUCUCUCCAUUUAAUUUCCAUUUGACUUAUGCAGGUCUUAUUACAGUAAUAAAAUCUCUUAGCAAUGAUGUAAAAAUACUCAAAUCUCUCCCAGCCAAAAGAUGUUUUGUCAGGUCUUAUUACAGUACUACUCCAGUCAUGAACCUAUUUUUGUUGUGUGUGUGUUCUCAGAAAAACAAUGUACUCCAGUCUGUUUUCAGUAGCUGUCUCUCAUGAUCCUUUAAUGAGAAAAAGAAUAUGUGUAAUCCAGAUGACAACAUUUUCAGUCUAUGAUUUUACUCCUAUUGCAGAGGUUCUUUCAGAAUUUUCAGAAUAAAUGAUGCACAGUCAACAGUUAAUACAGUUUGGUCUGGUACUCCUAUUGUCUGAAAUGCUACAGUUUAUGAUCUGCUAGUCCUUUUGUUCAAUUUAUUUACUCCAUCAGUACUCUAUCACUUGAAUCAAAUUAUUUACUCCAUCAGUACUCCAUCGGUACUCCAUCAGUACUCCAUCACUUGAAUCAAAUUACCAGUUCAAACUUAGUGAUAUCUCUGAAUUAUUCUGCCAAAUUCAGUUAACUUGUUCAAAUUAUUUGUUGAAUUAUUGGCAGCAAACAUUUCUUCAAUCAAAUGCUGGCAGUUCUGAAUUACUCCAGGAGAGCACAUCUCUUGAAUGACUUGAGUAUUGUUUAUGCUUGCAGUUCGUUUCCAGCAACAACAGAGAGAUGUGCUUCAGUAGAGGAUCAAAUGAUCAGAGAGAGGAGAUGAACCUGGGCACCAGCCGAGCCCAGCAGCAGCUCCUGGACGUGGGAGAGGAGGAGCGCCUGCGCCUGGAUGCAGUGGCCGGAGGUGGGGACAGAGGUGGAGGUGGAGGAACAGCCUGUGCUCGCCUCCACCUGGGCGCGGGCCAGGAGGAGCCGAUGCGCGUGGGCGACAGCAGAGCACCAGCUCUACUCCGGCGGCGGCAGCGCCUGGGCAGGGGGCGGAGGAGGUGGAGGGUGGGGGCGGAG